rnacentral:lncRNA from 10 species
CAGUUGUUACAUUGGACACACUGUAAGCAAGACAAAGAGUCAUCUAAAGAAAUCACAACUCGGGGCAAUCAAGUCAGCAUAACUCUGCGUCCCAUAUCUGACUGCAUCUAAAUUUAGAAGUUUUCGUUUUGAAGACAGAAUUUUGUUUUUAGCUAUUUUCAUGUUCUUACCCAGGAAACAUCCAUGAAUCCUUUCUGAGUCUCAGCUGUCACCUCCUGAGCGCCCUGAAGCUCUGCCCCUGCAUGUCUACAGACCUGGAAUUAAGAGCGACUUAGCAUACCUGAGCCACCUGUGAAGCAAUGGGAAACUGAAUCCAAAGGAUUAUAAAUACUACAAAAUAGUUUUGCAAAGUGUAACAAUUAAGACUCUUACCAUCAGUGUCUGGAAAUUACCAUUUAAAUACAUUUUGGGCAAAAAAAGUAUCAUCUGUCUUUUUAAUUUUAACAUUUUUGGUGAGAAAGAGAGUGUGUGUCUGUGUUUGUGUGUGUGUCACAUUUUGUUUUAACUUACAUUUUCUUAAUCAUUUGUAAUGUUUAAAGUCUUAUAUAUUUAUUGGGCAUUUGGGUAUUCUCUUUUGUGAAGUACCUUUAAAAUCUUUUUUUC